rnacentral:lncRNA from 1 species
GUCAGGUACAACAGAGACAGCUGUUUGUCCCCCAGUAUCCUUCAGACAAAGCCAUAUAUGAUUGAAGGUUAUCAGUACUGUGCUUUUGGAGGAUUCAGAAGAAGUUAUAUCUGAUUGGGAGAUUGAAAAGGAUUGGCCUGAAGGAGAGGUGGUUUUUGAACUGCAUCUUAAAGGAUGAGGAAACUGAGGCUGAGAGGGUAGAGAACUUUGCCUGAGGUCACUCAGCAGGGACCCACCCAUCACAGUAAAUGCCAGCACUGCUGAUGCCAAAACAAUGUUAUUUGUAGGCCCUCGGAAUUUGUGACCUGAAGGAAGAAGAGCAGGGCCGUGGGAAGUAUGUAACCAGUGUCAUGCCCCUGGUCCCAAGGAAGCAGUGGCUUGGUAAAGAGGGGACCCCCGUCAAUAACUCCCUGUAAUUACUGGGCACCCACUCUGAGCUCCUCAGUGGAAUCCUAAGGUUAAUAAGACUGUCUCUAGCCACUGGGGCUCCCAGCCUGGAGUGAGGUAAGAGGAGUGGAGCCGGCUGGGGAGGGAGACGAACACAUACACAGAAGAUUCAGACACACUUGCAAUGUAUUGCUGGGGAUUCUCCAGCAUUGGCAUGAUGGAGAGGGUGGAGAAUCAUUUGACCGCCUCCGCCUAGGAUUGCAGAGUUCAGCUGGCCAUCAUCCACCAGCCGGGGGACUGUGCACAUCAGUUAACCUCUCCUCUCAGGCCUUGAAAAGCACCAGGCUUAGUACACGUUUGUUAAAUGAAUGCACUGCAGUUUUUUUGCUUGUUAAAGGCAGGUAAUAAUAAUGAUAUUGCUGACUAAGGGCUCCCAUCCACUCCCAGUGAGCCCGGUGCCCCCCCGGGCCUCCUCAGUGAGCUGAGGAGGCUCAGCAGUGCCUGCACGUCCCCUCGCCACAAUGUCAUGUGCCACCUCUUCAAAGGAGGGAUGUACCAGCUAGUGGACGUGACCUUGACUGCAAAGGGCGGCACGCAGCUGAUGUAAUGGUCGCUUAAGUGUUCACAAAUGCCUGAACACCCUGUCCUACCUGGUCCUACCUGGAUGCUGGCCUCAGUAAGCUCCUGGGCUCAUUGAAGAUGAACCUAGCAGUAGUAUUUACACCACUUGUUGUGUGCCCACUGUGGGCCCGGCGCCAUGCCGAGUGCUCUAUGGAUGUGAGAGAAACGGAGGCCCAGAAAGCAGAAAUGAUGUGUUAAGAUCACUCAUCAAGCUGAUGGUACAGAGAUGAGAACACUGAAGCAGUUUUUUCUAAAGAUAGCUGCCUGGCACAGUGGCUCACAUCUGUAGUCCCAGCAUUUGGGGAGGCCAAGGCAGGUGGAUCACUUGAGGCCAGGAAUUCAAGACCAGCAUGGCCAACAUGUGCUGGGAGAGAAAAGCAUACGACAUAGACAGGGAGGUCAAGCUCCACCACGCAGAUGAGGUGCAGGCCACCAGUCUUCCUCUGCCACAUCUCUUUCUGAAAAGGCAGCCUGUGCUGAGAAACCAUGACUGAGUAAGCCAAGCUUUGUUGGCCGCACCUGCCAAGCCACAGGGUGCCUCAGGCUUGGAGCAUCCCGGAGCCAGUUACAACCCAAGACUUCAGCCUUCUGGAAGGUGUUGGGUCAGCCACCCUGAAGGACGAUCCUGCCCAAGUGACAUGCUUUGCUCUUCCUUCUCACCCAGGACUUCACAUUCACCCUUGCAAUCCAUGUGGGGACACUGUUGGAUAGGAGGCGUGGUCCCAGCGUGGUCUCCCUGUCUGGGCCUCUGCCUAUGCCAAAUGUUUGCCUUACGCUGCACACUCAAGAGGUUCCAUGUAUACAGAUGGGAAUUCCAGAGCUACAGAAAAGGCAGCAAGCACCAUGAUUUAAGCUAACCAGUGUGGAUUCACACCUUCCUCUCUCUCUAUCAGUGGCAGAACUACCAGCUAGAGUAAGAAGUGGUUGAUCCAGGACCUAAACAUUCUGGAAACUCUUGCCCACUUCUGGGAGAAAUGACCCAAUCCAUAGUACUAAGCACACCUUAACUUUCGUAGGACGCAGGCAAGUUGUCAUACCGUGUGCCUAAAUAUAGAAAAAUGAUCCACUGGACUAAUAAAGUGUUAAAUAAAAUAUGUCCUGACUGUCUACUUUGACAACAUACUUUCAUAAUGACAAAACUUAAAAAUGUAUAAAGCUAUGGUUUUUAUAUAGUUGAAA